UACGGGGGGGGCAAGCGUUGUUCGGAAUUACUGGGCGUAAAGGGCUCGUAGGCGGCCAACUAAGUCAGACGUGAAAUCCCUCGGCUUAACCGGGGAACUGCGUCUGAUACUGGAUGGCUGGAGUUUGGGAGAGGGAUGCGGAAUUCCAGGUGUAGCGGUGAAAUGCGUAGAUAUCGGGAGGAACACCAGUGGCGAAGGCGACUUCCUGGCCUGUUCUUGACGCUGAGGCGCGAAAGCUAGGGGAGCAAACGGG
rnacentral:rRNA from 1 species